UGUAUUAAAGAAUUAAAUGGAUGAAAUAUGAAAUUUUAUUAAAAGAAAAAGGGGUGAAAAGAACAAAGUUUUGUCCAUCUUUGUUCAUCAUAGCCGAAAGUUAGAGAAGAGAAAGGAGAGGAGAAAGCUCUUGAAUGUUUGGUCACUUGGGGAAGAAAAUUGAAGGAAAUCCCCAACCAUAGUGGGCUUGGAGCUGUGAGGGAAUUCGGAGUGGCCACCCGUUCUGAAAGUUUGGUUUUCUUCUGGUGAACUGGACAUCCUAUUAUUUACGUUGAGGUUUGGGUUUUUAAAUGUAAUAAGGCCGCUUAAUUA